rnacentral:lncRNA from 1 species
UCUCGUGAGACUUGCUCCAGCUGUGACAACUUGCCAUCCUACAACAAGAAGUAUAUAACAAUGAACUUCAAGAACAUUACAGGAGCUAAACGCCCAAUCAACGUGAAGUGCUCAAAAAUGCCUUAGCUAGCAUGCAUUCAAAAUUUAGACACUUGACAUAGCCUCAUCAAGCAUGCAAUAAAUUAUACUCCCUCCAUAAACUCAUAUAAGAGCGUUUAGAAUACUAAAAUAGUGAUCUAAACGCUCUUAUAUUAGUUUACAGAGGGAGUAGAAAGUAAACGAGGACCAGACUUUACAAUUACAGACACAUCCAUCAAUCCAUGAGGCAAAAUCAUGUGAAUCCAAAAGGAGAGGCAGGAAGGGAUACCAAUUUUGAUCCAGAGGGUACAUGAGUGUGGCCUUCUUCCGGAAGAGGUUGGCCCUAACGCACCUUGUAUGAGAGGCGCUGGGAGCUCAUAGAUUGUCCUGGUCAAUGAGCAGGUCCUCGCAUCCGGUCAUACUGCUAGCCUGGGUAAGAGGAAAAAUGAAAGGAACAAUUUAGACUUGGUAUUAACGAACAAAGACUGUAAUCAAUAGCAGAUUAAGCACCAAUUUUCUUGGAUGCAAGGAGAAGAACGAGCAAAAUAGCACAAAGAUGUGGGACAAUGCUGUACCUGUAGAUGAUGUUCGCAGCCAAGGAAGACAUGGGGCCAGCCUUGCAUGUGCGCGUGCUUCACCGGUGCAUGCAUCACCAUAGCAGCCAAGCAAGUAGACAUCAUCGACAUCUACUCACCUCUUUCCUGGCAAUGGAGAAAGAGUCAAACAAAAAAGUAUUAGACCAUGAUAUGACACCAGACCAUAGAUUAGUAGCUUUAAAUCACAAAGCAUAUCCACAACACCAUAAAAUAGUUCCAAACCCGUGUUAUUUGAGGAUAUCGCAUGUAGUUUAUUUUCAUGAGUCCAGAAACAUGGAAGGGUUCAAUACAGUCCUAAUAUACAUUCAUAUUACAGUAGCUUGAUAAGUCCAGAAAUAUGUUGUAUAUGCACAAUAAGUCCAGAAACCCCAGUGCUAUUUAUUUAUUGGUUUUACUGAAUCACACACAUUACUGCCCUUAUUUGAAAUCUCUCGCAUGAAUCUAGGUGCAGGGUAGAUGCCUUUUUUAUAUGUUCUACAUUACUACCCCAAGAAACAUUGGCUUUGAACGCUUGUGCCAACUCGUUUAUCAACAGACAUAUUCUAGCAGAGAGGCACUCUGAUUUGCCUGUGUGGAUCUAGACAAUUCCCCUCGCUCUACGAGAAGCUACCGAAUAAACAGUUUCACACAUCUGUUGAUUGGUUUUGAUACUCAUAACAAAAGGAUGCAGCAUAUAAACAGCAGCCACAACACAACUACAACGCGGCUCAAAUUUCAAAGUUGUUGUGAUGUGCCUGUAGCAUGCUGCCUAAGCAACGGCAAUGCAUAGUGGUACAGCCGAGAGAUCAGUAGCAUCAACACGUUUAGCCCUACUUGGAUCACACGCCCACGUACAAACCCCAGAGACAAUUCAACUAAACUGGCCAGGUUCGAGCAGAGCACAAAGGCAAAGACAAAGUAUAUAUCAGUGCCUACAAUCUUCAGUUCAGUACACAUCUCUUUAGAACAGAGUAAUAUUCAAAAUUCAUAUAUCAGUAUGUAUUCAGAAUUGAACCACCAACGACACCUUUACUAAAUCUCUUUAGUAGAGAGUAAACGCCAGCAAACUAAUUUCAUCUCGAAGGUUAGUUUUGCAACAGCAACAAGCAUUAAACAAGCUACUCUUGUUACUAUAGUGCAGUUCAGUACUAUAGUUCAGUACCAUAUGCCUACAAUCAGACACAAGCUUCAGUACAGUCAAAGUAUAAUUACAAAUAGGAUUAAGAAUCAAAGUUGUUACUCAUUGGAUCGUGGCACAGAGCGUUCAGUAAAGAGUAUAACACAAGCUACACUUAUAAACACAAGCUUCAGUUCAGUGCAGAAAUAAACGAGCCUCAGAUUGUGAGCAGCAGUGUUAGAUUGUUUACCUUCAGAGUUCUUCUUCUCCCACCUCCACAUCCUUCACAAAGCCACCCUCCACCUGACCAAAUCAAGCUUUCAGUUCAACAAUCAACACCAUUCACCUCAUCAUCCUCACUAUUUCUGCCCAGACACAGUCACAUGAACAACAUUCAGCUACACAAAAAGGAGAUAAAUCGAUCCGGGACGAACAAGGUACUAGGAUACAUUACCUCAUGCCGUCCACGGGG